AUGGCCACCAAGAUGCGCAAGCUGCCGAGCGCCGUUUUGCUGCUCCUCUUGGUCGCGAACCUGGGAUGGGCAUGGGCGCUGAUCCCUUCCUCCCCCGCAGGCCUCUCCGCCAGGCGCUACGACUCCAUCUUCAGCUUCGGCGACUCCUACGCCGAAACCGGCAACAACCCCGUCGUCUUCGCCGCCAACUCCGUCUUCAACCUUGUCACGCGCCCACCCUACGGCUCCACCUUCUUCGGCCGCCCCACCGGCCGCAACUCCGACGGCCGCCUCAUCAUCGACUUCAUCGCUCAGCGCCUCGGCCUGCCGCUCGUCCCGCCGUCCCUGGCGCACAACGGGAGCUUCCGCCAAGGCGCCAACUUCGCCGUCGGGGGCGCCACCGCUCUGGACGCCGCUUUCUUCCACGACGGGUCCGAUCCCGGCAACAAGUUCCCUCUCAACACCAGCUUGGGCGUCCAGCUGCAGUGGUUCGAGGCUCUCAAGCCUUCCCUCUGCCGCACGACCCAAGAGUGCGAGGCCUUCUUCGGCAGAUCCCUCUUCUUCGUGGGCGAAUUCGGGGUCAACGACUACCACUUCUCCUUCCCCACCAAGAGCCUGCAAGAGAUCACGGCGUUCGUUCCGGAAGUGAUCAGGGCCAUCUCAAUGGCAAUCGAGAGGCUGAUCAAGCACGGGGCCACGAGUUUCGUCGUUCCCGGGACAAUCCCGUCGGGAUGCACGCCGCACAUUCUCAGCUCCUUCGCCAAAGACGACCCCGCGGAAUACAACUCCACCACCGGCUGCCUGGAAGAUUACAACAAGCUAGGGAUGCACCACAACCUGCUGCUGCAGGAGGCCCUGGAGAAGCUUCGGGGCAGGCACCCGGACGCCAUGAUCGUCUACGCCGACCUCUUCGGCCCCAUCAUUGACAUGGUUGAGUCACCUCGCAAGUAUGGGUUUGAAGAUGUUCUUACCAACUGUUGCGGAGGGCCUGGGGCACUUAUCUGCGGCGACCAAGGUGCACAUGUAUGUGAGAAACCGGCUGCUCGUCUGUUCUGGGAUGUCGCGCACUUGACGGAGGCGGCUUACCGCUACAUCGCCGAUGGCUGGCUGGGCAGCAUAGACUCCCCUGCAACUGCAAGAGAGAGCAGGUAUCAGUUAGUGAGGUAG
rnacentral:rRNA from 1 species